rnacentral:lncRNA from 1 species
ACACGUUUAAAUCCUACUAACACAAGAAACAAGAAGGUGUUAGAUAACGUAAAGGAAGAAUAAAGGGAAACAAAUGAAAACCUACAGCUAAGAAUCAAUAAAAAUUGCUGAAAACAGAAAACCCGAAAAACUGCGGAGUAACUUGACAACUUCGUUCGAGGUGUUCCCGACUUCCAAAAAUCACGAAAUUAAAUCUGGAGUGUCCUUAUAUAUUGAAUUUUUGAUCUGGAAAUUUUGGGCACCAAAUUCAACCCGCUAAAUCUUUUUUUAAAUUUUUAUUGAAUUUCGUAUUUUUUGAUUUUUUUGACUUUUUUGACUGAUUUUUUUGUGGGAAUAA